CAGCAGCCGCGGGAAUACGAGGGGGGCAAGCGUUGUUCGGAUUUAUUGGGCGUAAAGGGUGCGCAGGCGGUUUGGCAAGUCUUGUGUGAAAUCUUCGGGCUCGACCCGAAGCCUGCACGAGAAACUACCGGGCUUGAGUAUUGGAGAGGUGAGUGGAAUUUCCGGUGUAGCGGUGAAAUGCGUAGAUAUCGGAAGGAACACCUGUGGCGAAAGCGGCUCACUGGACCAUUACUGACGCUGAGGCGCGAAAGCUAGGGGAGCAAACAGGAUUAGAUACCCGAGUAGUCCCUGUCUCUUAUAU
rnacentral:rRNA from 1 species